rnacentral:lncRNA from 1 species
CUACAAGAAUAAAGUAUUAUUCUGGAAGACAAAAAAAACUGGUUAGUUGAUGUUGAUCACUAUUGUUACAAUAACCUAUAUGAUGAUAUAGUGCACACAUUCAACUUGAAGCUUGAAGAGACCAUAAAGAUUUGGUCUGUCGUUAGAUAUUUAUCACCUAAAUCUUAUAUGAUUCUAGAUACAUAUCAUAAACUAAUGAGUUGGUUUGAGGAGUACAA